GACGAACGCUGGCGGCGUGCCUAAUACAUGCAAGUUGAGCGCUGAAGGUUGGUACUUGUACCAACUGGAUGAGCAGCGAACGGGUGAGUAACGCGUGGGGAAUCUGCCUUUGAGCGGGGGACAACAUUUGGAAACGAAUGCUAAUACCCCAUAAAAACUUUAAACACAAGUUUUAAGUUUGAAAGAUGCAAUUGCAUCACUCAAAGAUGAUCCCGCGUUGUAUUAGCUAGUUGGUGAGGUAAAGGCUCACCAAGGCGAUGAUACAUAGCCGACCUGAGAGGGUGAUCGGCCACAUUGGGACUGAGACACGGCCCAAACUCCUACGGGAGGCAGCAGUAGGGAAUCUUCGGCAAUGGACGAAAGUCUGACCGAGCAACGCCGCGUGAGUGAAGAAGGUUUUCGGAUCGUAAAACUCUGUUGGUAGAGAAGAACGUUGGUGAGAGUGGAAAGCUCAUCAAGUGACGGUAACUACCCAGAAAGGGACGGCUAACUACGUG
rnacentral:rRNA from 1 species